rnacentral:tRNA from 1 species
CGUGGUGUAGCGCAGACCGGCUAGCGCGCUUGGUUCGGGACCAAGAGGUUGGAGGUUCAAAUCCUCUCACCCCGACCA